GACGAACGCUGGCGGCGUGCUUAACACAUGCAAGUCGAACGGGCCUUGUCCCCUUUUUUUUUGGGGGUGGGGUUAGUGGCGAACGGGUGAGUAACACGUGAGUAACCUGCCCCUCACUUCUGGAUAACCGCUUGAAAGGGUGGCUAAUACGGGGUGUUCUGGCCUGCUCGCAUGGGUGGGUUUGGAAAGAUUCGACCGGUUUUGGUGGUUUUGGUGGGGGAUGGGCUCGCGGCCUAUCAGCGUGUUGGUGGGGGGAUGGCCUGCCAAGGCUUUGACGGGGGGCCGGCCUGAGAGGGUGGGCGGUCACACUGGGACUGAGACACGGCCCAGACUCCUACGGGCGGCAGCAGUGGGGAAUAUUGCACAAUGGGCGCAAGCCUGAUGCAGCGACGCCGCGUGAGGGAUGGAGGCCUUCGGGUUGUGAACCUCUUUCGCCAGUGAAGAAGGUCCUGCUCUUUGUGGUGGGGUUGACGGUAGCUGGGUUAAUGAAGCGCCGGCUAACUACGUG
rnacentral:rRNA from 1 species